UUUUUUUUUUUUUACAAUGUGCAACAUUUAAUUACAUCAUUAGAAAAGCACAGAAAAUCAAAUAUUGCGUAUUCUCACCUAUAAGGGGGAGCUAAAUCUUGGGUACACAUGGACAUAAGGAAGGGAACAAUAGACACUGAGAACCGCAGAAGGAAGGAGGGAGGCAGGGGACAAGGGCCGAAAACCUUCCUGUUGAGCACUAUGUUCACUAUCUGGGUGACAGGGCCAAGAGAAGCUCAAACCUCAGCAACACACAAUACACCCUUAUAACAAACCUGCACAUGUACCCACUGAAUCUAAAAUAAAAAUAUAAAAUUUAAAAAAAAGAAAGAGAAGAAAAGAAUUCUAGGUAAUACCACGGACAGGACUUUUCUUUCUGUUUUUCAGAGGGAGUCUCGCUCUGUCACCCAGGCCAGAGUACAGUGGCACGAUCUCGGCUCACUGCAACCUCCGCCUCCCAGGUUCAAGCAAUUCGCCUGUCUCAGCCUCCUGAGUAGCUGGGACUACAGGCACACGCCACCACGCCCGGCUAAUUUUUGUAUUUUUAGUAGAGACAGGGUUUCACCAUAUUGGUCAGAAGGCUGAGGUAGGAGGAUCGCUUGAGCCCAGGAAUUGAAAACUGUAGUGAGCUAUGAUGACACCACUAUACUCCAGCCUGGGUGACAGAGUGACACUCUCUCUUAAAGAGAGAGAGAGGGAAAGGAAGGAAGGAAGAAAAGAAGGGAGGGAGGGAGAGAGAGAGAGAGAGAGAGGGAGAGAGACAGAAAGAGUGGGAGAGAGAGAGAGAAAGAAAAAGAAAGAAAGAGGAAGGAAGGAAGGAAAAGAGAGAGAGAAAGAGAAACAGAAAGAGAAAGGAAAAGACAAGACUCCUUAAGAAAACCUUGUGUGGUGUGUCUGCAACUAAUUCUCCAGCCUUUCCUCCCCAGCCAAGUGGGCUUUUAUUCAUUUAUUGAACUGAAGGUCUCUCGGCCCCACCUCCUUCCCUGGUUGGCAUUCCAGUUCCCAGGUCCUGGAAUGCACUCUCCCAUCUUCCCAAGCCCUUCAUUGACACCUAAUCCUUCAAAAUUCAACUCAGCGGUUGGUUACCUCUCCAGGGAAGCUUUCCCUGCCCACCCCACAGGAUCUCCCCCAAUCCAAUCACAUUUUCCUGCUGUAACUGUCAUAGCACCUUGUAUUUGUCCUUUCUAACAUGUUUCUGUUCCAAUCAUGUGCCUGUGUGAUUAUUUCAUUAACAUCCAUUUCUACCUCUAGACCAUAAGCUCCUGGAGAGCAGCCCCAGAAUCUGGGUUUGUACUCAUCACUCAUCAUGCAUUCCAUGCAUUCCUAGUCUACUCUCUGGACAUUCAAUAAAUAUUUGUUGAACGAAUGUUUCCCCAUCUGUAAAAUAAGAAGAGCUCACCUAGAUUUCAAUCCAUAAUAUUUAAAGCCUGGAUUCUGGGAUCCUCCACUCCUCCCUCCAAAGCUGACUACCCAAAAAUCCCAGGAAAUUCCAGAUUGUAUCUCCCUCAUUAACAUAUUACAAACUUGAUUAUCCUUCAAUUCCCUGAGGCUUACUGGGAGCUCCCAGGCCCUGGGGAUUUGACAGCGGGAGAGAGAUAGGGAAUUCUGGUGAGUCAUUGAGGGUGAUUACUAAUUUCGGAGUUUUUUGUUUUGUUUUGCUUUGCUUUUUUGAGACGGAGUCUCGCUCUGUUGCCCAGGCUGGAGUGCAGUGGCGCAAUCUCGGCUCACUGCAAGCUCCGCCUCCCAGGUUCACGCCAUUCUCCUGCCCCAGCCUCCCCAGUAGCUGGGACUACAGGCGCCCGCCACCACGUCCGGCUAAUUUUUUUUUUUUUUUUUUUUUUUGGAUUUUUAGUAAAGACGGGGUUUCACCGUGUUAGCCAGGAUGGUCUCGCUCUCCUGACCUCGUGAUCCACCCGCCUCGGCCUCCCAAAGUGCUGGGAUUACAGGCGUGAGCCACCGCGCUCGGCCAAUUUCGAAGUGUUUUCAAACUACUGCAGCCCUCUCCCAUUGCUGUGGUAACUGGAUGGAAAUGCAUCUAGCAAGAGAAAAUGUACAUAAAGAUUACCUCCCUCCCUGCUCUAGGUUUCUGCAGGUGAGAAGGUGUCGUGAUAGAAUAAUGAACAUUUCCUGUGGGGCUGGCACUGUGUUCUACAUAGAACUCAUUUAAUACAACAACCGUAUAACGAGGAAGCAAGCCAUGUGCAUCAAUUAUCAGGAACGCUUUAAUCCAACUGGGACCCCAAACAAACACCCCGUUUUAAUCCCGGGUGAAGUGAUACAAACAAUUUACAAAGCCUCACGACCCGGCAGCAACCCGAGUCUUACGUGAUCUGGCGAAACUCAUCUGCCUCCUAAGCUCCAACGCCACUGCUUUUCUUUCCCUGUCUCCAGCACUCAGCUCCUUCGGGUCUAUGGCAAUUGUACUUGCUGUUCCUCCUGCCUGGAUUAGUCCUACAGCUUGCCCUGACUGCAUCCUUCUCAUCAUUCAGAUCUCAACGCAAGCAUCACCUCCUUCCUCUGAGGCCUUGGCCUUCAACAUCCCAUUCCCUACCCCACAUCAUUCCAGACUGGAAGCUCUAGAGCUGGCAUUAGAACACUGUCUGGCCCACAAGCCUUCAAUACUUCAACAAAUGCUUGUUGAAUCCAAAAACGCUGAUUACCCUUCAAUCUGCCAGCUCACCCCACUCCCUCUCAAAAUACCUAGGAGAAUUAAUUUACAAAGAAAACAUAAGCAAGCGACAGCGUAACACAUCGACUCAAAACAAAGCCGGUAAUCCGGGGCUGAACUGGUCAACGGCAUUUAAAGAAGGCCCCAAGAAAACCCUUUCCUGAUCGUGCACACACUUUUCAAGAGGCGAAACCAGGGGGACAGGGCGGUCGGCGGCGCAGCGCUGCCUACCUUGAACUCCGCGGAAAGUUGGGGCGUGUAUU